GACGAACGCUGGCGGCGCGCCUAACACAUGCAAGUCGAACGGAGCUGAGAGAAGCUUGCUUUUCUUAGCUUAGUGGCGAACGGGUGAGUAACGCGUGAGUAACCUGCCCCGGAGUGGGGGACAACAGUUGGAAACGACUGCUAAUACCGCAUAAGCCCACGAUCCGGCAUCGGAUUGAGGGAAAAGGAUUUAUUCGCUUCAGGAUGGACUCGCGUCCAAUUAGCUAGUUGGUGAGGUAACGGCCCACCAAGGCGACGAUUGGUAGCCGGACUGAGAGGUUGAACGGCCACAUUGGGACUGAGACACGGCCCAGACUCCUACGGGAGGCAGCAGUGGGGGAUAUUGCACAAUGGGGGAAACCCUGAUGCAGCGACGCCGCGUGGAGGAAGAAGGUUUUCGGAUUGUAAACUCCUGUCGUUAGGGACGAUAAUGACGGUACCUAACAAGAAAGCACCGGCUAACUACGUG
rnacentral:rRNA from 1 species